rnacentral:rRNA from 1 species
UAGGGAAUCUUCCACAAUGGACGCAAGUCUGAUGGAGCAACGCCGCGUGAGUGAAGAAGGUCUUCGGAUCGUAAAGCUCUGUUGUUGGUGAAGAAGGAUAGAGGCAGUAGCUGGUCUUUAUUUGACGGUAAUCAACCAGAAAGUCACGGCUAACUACGUGCCAGCAGCCGCGGUAAUACGUAGGUGGCAAGCGUUGUCCGGAUUUAUUGGGCGUAAAGCGAGCGCAGGCGGAAUGAUAAGUCUGAUGUGAAAGCCCACGGCUCAACCGUGGAACUGCAUCGGAAACUGUCAUUCUUGAGUGCAGAAGAGGAGAGUGGAACUCCAUGUGUAGCGGUGGAAUGCGUAGAUAUAUGGAAGAACACCAGUGGCGAAGGCGGCUCUCUGGUCUGCAACUGACGCUGAGGCUCGAAAGCAUGGGUAGCGAACAGGAUUAGAUACCCUGGUAGUCCAUGCCGUAAACGAUGAGCGCUAGGUGUUGGGGACUUUCCGGUCCUCAGUGCCGCAGCAAACGCAUUAAGCGCUCCGCCUGGGGAGUACGACCGCAAGGUUGAA